CCUCGGGUGGCAGCAGUGGGGAAUCUUGCACAAUGGGCGCAAGCCUGAUGCAGCCAUGCCGCGUGUGUGAAGAAGGCCUUCGGGUUGUAAAGCACUUUCAGCGGGGAGGAAGGCGGUGAGGUUAAUAACCUCAUCGAUUGACGUUACCCGCAGAAGAAGCACCGGCUAACUCCGUGCCAGCAGCCGCGGUAAUACGGAGGGUGCAAGCGUUAAUCGGAAUUACUGGGCGUAAAGCGCACGCAGGCGGUCUGUCAAGUCGGAUGUGAAAUCCCCGGGCUUAACCUGGGAACUGCAUUCGAAACUGGCAGGCUAGAGUCUUGUAGAGGGGGGUAGAAUUCCAGGUGUAGCGGUGAAAUGCGUAGAGAUCUGGAGGAAUACCGGUGGCGAAGGCGGCCCCCUGGACAAAGACUGACGCUCAGGUGCGAAAGCGUGGGGAGCAAACAGGAUUAGAUACCCUUGUAGUC
rnacentral:rRNA from 1 species